ACGAGGGUAAACAUCGGGAUAGCCUUUCCCAGGUGGAAAGAGCUAAUGAAGGAGAAAGACUUCCAAAGGGACGCUGAAGUUGCCUGCUUCCUUCUCGACAGUUAUGAGAGUACUCUUGGGAUUGAGAACUGAUCAACCCCCAUCAAGGCAAAACGUUUUCAAGUGCAAACUGCUCCAGCAUUGUCAAGCAUUUCCAGUGGGACAGAUAGAGAUGAACAUCUGAGUGCAAU